rnacentral:tmRNA from 1 species
GGGGCUGUUAUGGAUUUGACAGAAUAUACAAAAAUUGUUGCAGCAUGUCGAGGAUUGGUUUGCCUCGUUAAAAAACCAAUUUUAUUAAAUGCAAAACAAAAAAACUACGCUUUAGCAGCUUAAAAAACUAGAUAAAGCCCUUUCUCGCUGAUCUAUUUUUCUUCUCUUUACUAGAUAAGUUAUAUAUUAGAAAGGUUAUAUAAAAAGAGACAUUCUUAUAUUGUUAAUCUUAAAACAAUAAGAUUGUAUUUUAUUAAGAUAAAAAAUAACACUUUGUUUAUUAAGUUUUAUUUUAAAAGAUCAAAUAAACUAAACAUGUAGAACAACAAUAUUAGUUAUUUUGGACGCGGGUUCAAAUCCCGCCAGCUCCAA